rnacentral:lncRNA from 1 species
GACAGAGGCAGGCUCUUGCAGCCUACAAGGUCUUAUUGUCCACCCUGGAGUUGUAGAUCAGGAUUAUAAAGGGGAACUUCAAGUUCUCUGUUCUUGUCCUCAAGUUGUCUUUUCUAUAUCACAAGGGGACAGAAUAGCUCAACUAAUAAUUUUGCCAAGCCUACAUGGCUGUUUUUCCUUCCUCUGGUAUUCCUCGAGCCGCCAGAGGGAUUGGUUCUACUGAAAAUGAUUCUGAUUACUUAAUAAUGCCUUUAGAUUGUUGUCAAAUUUUAUCUACUCAUGUAGGGGUAAACCCUCGUGGCGUCAGGCCAUUACAGGUCUGGCAAAUGGAUGUCACGCAUAUUUCCUCCUUUGGGAGAAAUCAAUAUUUACGUGUUUAGAAGAAACCCACUUAAAAAUGGGAUUGUGGUAUAUACUGAUGGAUCAAAAACUGGCAUAGGUGCCUAUGUGGCUAAUGGUAAAGUGGUAUCCAAACAGUAUAAUGAAAUUUCACCUCAAGUGGUAGAAUGUUUAGUGGUUUUAGAAGUUUUAAAAACCUUUUUAGAACCCCUUAAUAUUGUGUCAGAUUCCUGUUAUGUGGUUAAUGCAGUAAAUCUUUUAGAAGUGGCUGGAGUGAUUAAGCCUUCCAGUAGAGUUGCCAAUAUUUUUCAGCAGAUACAAUUAGUUUUGUUAUCUAGAAGAUUUCCUGUUUAUAUUACUCAUGUUAGAGCCCAUUCAGGCCUACCUGGCCCCAUGGCUCUGGGAAACGAUUUGGCAGAUAAGGCCACUAAAGUGGUGGCUGCUGCCCUAUCAUCCCCGGUAGAGGCUGCAAGAAAUUUUCAUAACAAUUUUCAUGUGACGGCUGAAACAUUACGCAGUCGUUUCUCCCUGACAAGAAAAGAAGCCCGUGACAUUGUUACUCAAUGUCAAAGCUGCUGUGAGUUCUUGCCAGUUCCUCAUGUGGGAAUUAACCCACGCGGUAUUCGACCUCUACAGGUCUGGCAAAUGGAUGUUACACAUGUUUCUUCCUUUGGAAAACUUCAAUAUCUCCAUGUGUCCAUUGACACAUGU